CAAGGUUUUUCCAUCUUCUAUGGUCCAGUUUUGUUUUUAAAGGGGCUCUGGUGAAGAAACGGCACAAAGGAAAUAGGCUCGACUGUCAGCCGGGCGCGUCUCUCCGUCGGUGACCACGGGUCGCGGCUCUCGCCGUAAUGAAAGUCGUAAUUGUGGCUGAUCAUCGUCAUCGACACGCUGUCAGGAGACGUGUGAGGCUGCAGCGCGGGAAGCAGACGCUCGCCAUCCGGAUGAAUCUGAAGGGACAUUUGGAAACUAGAAGGUAAACAUUCAGGCUUCCAGUGCAGCGCCGCCCCGCUGUCAGCGCCGGCCGACCCAGACCGCCACAGACUCUGGUGAGGUUUCCUGUUCAAAGCUGAACCCCAUUUGGUUUAUUUGGUCUGUUCAGAAAACAAUGUGGAGAAGGAAAAACCAAAACGGUGACAUUUAUUUGGACGUUACGUCUGUGGUUUUGAAGUCUGGAUUGUUCUCUGCAGAAACUCCGGCGUUAUUUUAGACUCCUGUCAGUCAUAAACUGACGUCCUCCAGAUGUCAACAUCCGCCGCCGCCGAGCCGCAUCUCAGCUUCACAUUCAGACGGAUUCACAUCUCCAACAGACAGCUGACAAAAGACCCGGAUGAAUGGAUACAAACCCAGGCAGACGUGGAGACGGAUGAGAGCAGGCAGACAGUUUGUCAGACGCUCGGCUCUGACUGUUCCCGUCUCUGGCCUUUUUCCCGCCGCUCGCUCCGCUCUGCCAUUACUCACUGUGAGACUGUGAUGCUUAAAUUGCUGUAUAUUUUCCCCUUGGCAACACCCAUCUGUCAUAGCUGUGAUUUACUGCAACACAACCUAACAGUUAACACAGUCUGUGUGUGUUUGUGAAAAAAUCAUCAGGAUGCUGUGACACGUGUCAUUUCACGAGACAAAGGAGUGCUGCUGCUGCUGCAGGUCACGUGACCUCAGACGUGCUUCUGCAGCCACGUCUGACCCUCAGGAGGAAGUUUCAGUUUAUGGAGGAUUUGGGGCUAAUUGUUGGGGAUCUUCGGGAACUACAGUCCCUACAUUUCAGUCCACAUCUUUUGUUCCUGGUCCUAUGAAGCUUUUCAAAGUUAUCUGUCUCUCUCUCUCAAUCAGGAGUGAGUUAGAUGUGGGCGUGGUCACUUGUGUAACGGAAGGUAAAUGGCGCAUACCUAUACAACGCUUUCUUCCUUUCUUUAAGGCCCACAGUGCCUUGCGGCACCA